UAGCCAGGCACGGUGGUGGGCACCUAUAAUCCUAGCUACUCGGGAGGCUGAGGCAGGAGAAUGGCUUGAACCUUGGUAGGGGGUGGGAGCGGGGGCAGGUAGCAGAGGUUGCAGUGAGCCGAGAUCACACCAUUGCACUCCAUCCUGGGCGAAAGUGCAAGACUCCAUCUCAAAAAAAAAAAAAAAAAUGCUGUGUAGGCAAAUCAGUAUACGUACUGCAGGAGUCAUUAGCUUUCAGUGUUUGAUGCUCACUACUCAAGAAUCAACUGCAGAGAUUAAUGGAUGAAAUUUUUAACUUUAUUUCUUUACUCCAUGCCUUCUCCCAGAUUGUCUAAACUUUUUUUUCAAAAACCCCUCUAGGAUGUUGGUAGGCUUAAGGAAGAACAGAAAGGAACCUGAAGGUGGGGAGAGAAUAAAACUGGGAGCAAGGAAAUUGAAGUUGGGGUGAUUGGGAAAACAGGCCAGCCUGGGUGGGCAUCUGGUGGCAAUGACAAGCCAGAAAGGAAAUCUGGUUUUCAGGAGUAUAAAAAGUGAAUUAUAUGAAGGUUGCUUGGAAGAAAAUUCCAUUUUGUCCAAUAUCUGCUUUUAACUUUCACAGGGCUCCUGUUUUGUUUGGUUUUAGUGCUCCAUUGAAACUUACAGACAAGUACACAGAUCAUAGUGUACAACUCAAUGAAUAUUCACAAAGUGAACACACUUUGUAUAUCCAACACCCAAAUCAAGAAAUUCACCAGCACUCUAGAUGCUGCUUUCAAGCCCCCUCGCAGUUACUCCUUUGCACAUUUAUAUAAAUGGAAUCAUACACUGUGUACUCUUUUUGUGUCUGGCUUAUUUUGACCAACAUUAAAUGUGUGAGAUCUUUCUGUAAUGUGGCAUGUUGUAGAUCUUCAUUCUCCCUGUUGGGUAGGAUUCCAUAUGUGGAUAUGCUAUAAUGUAUCCAUUCUAAUACUGUAGGCCAUUUGGAUGGCGUUCAGUUUGGGGCUGUACAAAUACUGCUGCUGUGAUUAUUCUCGUACAUGUCUUUUGAACAUACUACAUAUUUUUGGUGGGCAUACACCAAUGAGUGAAAAAGUGGGUCACAGGAUAUAGACAAAUUCAGUUUUUAUAAAUGUUUUCCAAAAUGGCUGUACC
rnacentral:lncRNA from 10 species